GGGCGCGGGGCAGUCGGGCGGGCGCGGCGCGGAGCGGCGGGACGGGAGCAGAGCGCACCGGGGCGCAGCGCGCACAGCACCGCACCGCAGCGCACCCCGGCACCCAGCCCGUCCCGCACCUGCUGUCCCCUAUGAGCAGCCCCGCGGCGGCACAGCACUAGGGAAAAGCCCCCGCCGCCUGCCCGGGGAGAGGGGUGGGUCGUUGGGGGGGGGUGUCAUGGGGGUGGCGGGCACCGAGCUGCCCGGUGGCAACGGCAGCGCCAACCAGAGCGCCGCAGACCCCACGGUGUCGAGGGACGUGUGGAUGGUGGGCAUGGGGAUCCUCAUGUCGCUCAUCGUGCUGGCCAUCGUCUUCGGUAACGUGCUGGUGAUCACGGCCAUCGCCCGGUUUCAGCGCCUGCAGACUGUCACCAACUACUUCAUCACCUCGCUGGCCUGCGCUGACCUGGUGAUGGGGCUGGCCGUGGUGCCCUUCGGCGCCAGCCACAUCAUCAUGGAGAUGUGGAAGUUUGGGAACUUCUGGUGUGAGUUCUGGACAUCCCUGGACGUGCUCUGUGUCACAGCCAGCAUCGAGACCCUCUGCGUCAUUGCUGUGGACCGGUACUUCGCCAUCACCUCCCCGUUCAAGUAUCAGAGCCUGCUGACCAAGAGCAAGGCGCGCGUGGUCAUCCUGGUGGUGUGGGUGGUGUCAGCCCUCACCUCCUUCCUGCCCAUCCAGAUGCACUGGUACCGGGCAGACCGUGUCGAGGCCAUCCUCUGCUAUGAGAAGGACACGUGCUGUGACUUCUUCACCAACCAAGCCUACGCUAUUGCUUCCUCCAUCAUCUCCUUCUACCUGCCACUCGUGGUCAUGGUAUUUGUGUACGCCAGGGUCUUCCAGGUGGCCAAGAAGCAGCUGCAGAAGAUAGACAAGAGUGAGGGGAGGUUUCACACCCAGAACAAGGAGCAGGACCAGAACGGGCGAGCUGGGCACCGCCGUUCCUCCAAGUUCUUCCUGAAGGAGCACAAAGCCCUGAAGACCCUGGGCAUCAUCAUGGGCACCUUCACGCUGUGCUGGCUGCCCUUCUUCAUCGUCAACAUCGUGCAUGUCAUCCAGGACGACAUCAUACCCAAGUACGUGUACAUCCUCUUGAACUGGCUGGGCUACGUCAACUCUGCCUUCAACCCUUUGAUCUACUGCCGCAGCCCGGACUUCAGGUAUGCCUUCCAGGAGCUCCUGUGCCUCCGCAGGUCUGCCCUGAAGAUGUAUGCCAACGGCUACUCAAACAGCAACGGCAGGAGCGACUACAACGAGGAGGACAACGGCUACCCCCUGGCACCGGAUAAAACCUGCGAGCUGCUCUGCGAAGAGGGCUCCUUCCCUAACCCCGAGGGCUUUUUGCACUGCAAAGGUACUGUGCCUAGCGGGUAGCUUCGAGACGCGAUGGUCUCUGGUGUGGCACGCUGGUUAUAAAGAUGAGCCUUUCCCUCUGUAAGGAAAAACAAAACCCCCAAGAAUAAUAUCGAUCCUCAUCUAAAGCACCCCUAAAACCCAGAGGCUGCAAGAAACCUAAAACUCAGCAAACCUUCUGCAGGCAGGUGGGAGGCUGCCCUGGGGAGGCUCAGGCAGGCUGGCUGCUCGCAGAGGAAACCUAUUUAGGUCCCUUGAGCCGGGGGGAGCGGAGGGGACUGUGUGGUAUUUUAAGGCUGUGCAGAAAGCUCGUCCCAGGAGGAACUGAACUUCCUGACAGUGUCUGAUGUUGAACUACCUCAUGGCCAGAGUGUGAGUGGCUGGGUGGCUGCUGGAGGAGCCCUGUGCUCCCAGUGCUGCCCAGCCCUGCAGAGAGGGCACCCUGUGCCUAAUUCCCCACGGAAGGGGUACUUAGGACCAGGGCUGUGUGUAACCUGGUCAGCUGUGUCUGACCCGCAGCUACUGCUGUCCGUGGGACAGUUUAAACAACUCCCAGAAACAACGAAUGCAUCUUCUGCCAAGUGCUGUAGGAGUUUCUGCUGAAAUAACGAUAGAAAUAAACGGACUCUUUGCCCAGAAUGUGGGACUGUGACUGUGGGGCUCAAGAAUGUGGUACUGGGAAGCUGGGUGAGAUGCUGUCACUGUCACAGACCGACCUUUUGUAGACUCCAGCCAAAGCUUUUAACUGCCCAGUUUGUUUAGCUUCAGGUCUCAAAUGAUAGAGAGUCCCGAGGAGGUGGGCAGGGAGGAGGGCUUCCUUACUUUGUCGCAGAGGGCUGACAGACUGGAAGCACAGCUCUGGCCGCGGGAUGGCUUUAGGUUUGUUUGUUUGUUAAGGGUUUUUUUCCCCUUGCAGCAGGCUUUGCAUUUUGUUCCCGGGUUGCAAAACUUGGCGGCGGGUGCACGGAGCUGUCAGGGGCACGCAGACAGGAGCGGGCAGGUGCAGGCUGUGGGAUGGGACAGGGCAGGGGCUGUGCUGGGCUGUGCUGCUGAGGGCUUCUUAGACAGCCCCGGAACUGGAGGAGAGCAGCAACAGGGCUGGGAAAAUGGGGCUUCCCCCUUGCCUUCACUCUCAGCUGCUGUUUGAAAGGGGAGACCCGAGGAGGAAGUGAAAGUGUGGUGUCUUCCAAAAAAAAAAACUUGGGGGAGAUGGAGGAGAAAUAAAUUGGUACGCUGUGGUAUCCUGUGGGAGGGAUGCUUGGGCACUGCAUGCGGGGGGCUCUUCUCCUCCCCACGCAGUUCCAGGCACCUGCUCUGACCUCCGGGGGUUUUGGUUGAGCUGCUGCGGAGGGGGCAGUGCUGCAAGGAAGCAGCUUGCGCUGUCCUGGGUUGGCCAGGGAGUGGGAUUUCUGCCUGCCCACCUUUGCAGUCCCUCUGUGACCACGGCUCCCUUUGCAGCCCUGGGAAGGACUUGCCCCGAGCACUGGCACCCAAACAGGCAGCCCCAGGGAGCACUGGAGGGGGAAUCACCCCUGUAGGGACAGUGUGGGGCAGGAGAGGUGCUGCAAGGUGCAGGGCAGCAGCAGGCUCAUCCGUGAGCUCUCGGCACUCCUCGUGGUAAAGCCCCACCUGGCUUUUGUGGGGAAGGAGUACGGGAACUCCCGGUGCUCCCUUCUAUCUUUCCCAAAGCGGUCCUGAUCCUGCUUGGAAAGGGUGCUGGGAAGGGCGAAGAGCUGUAACAGCCCAAUCCUUUUCUGGUGCUGUGAUGGGUGCUGGCUCAGCUCCGUUGCAGCCCUUCCAGCUCUCAGUACACAGAGGCAGGGCAUGUGCCCAAGAGCGCUCAUCCCUCCGGCCUCUCGCUGCCAGCACUGAUGCCGUGCCUGCCCGUGCCCUCCUUGGUGGGGCCGUCAGCAAUGCCCCAGCACACCCCAACUCCCUUGCAUUCAGCUUUUAAACCAGGUUCAGCUUUGAAAUCACACCGUGAGCCACCUGAGCAAACGAGGGGCGUGAUGGCACGGUACGGUGUGUGACUGCUGGGAGGAGGAGGCCCCCGGUCUGCAAAAACAUUUGCUCCUCAGAUACACAUUAACAGGACACAUAACGGGCUGUGCGGGGUUGGGUGCUUCUGGUUUCCUACUGUACCAGGGCUGAAAGGAAGGGCCCUGUGCUGCGGGGUCAGUGUAGGUGCCCCGCGUGGGUUUAGAGGCACACUCAGUUCAGUGCAGCUCAUGAUUGUCAUGUAGCGCUCUGGGGGAAGUGAAAAUUAACCUCUUGAUUGUCACGAUCGAUUUCCCCCGUCGUUAAUCUGGGGGAAUGCAGGCUGUAGCAGGAGCGCAGCGGGAGGAGGUCCCGUGCCAAGGCAGGGCCGGGAGAAAUCUGGUGCCCACGUCUCAGUGGCUCUGCGUAUUUUUACCAUUAUUAAUUACUGUUUGCAUUUCAAUAGCAUGUGUUGUGGACCAGGAUUUUAUUGUCCAAAUAAUUACUCUACUUGCCUGGCUGGUUAUAUUCACAGAUCAGACGGUGCUGUACGUGGCCAGAGCUGAGAGACGAGCGAUGGUUAGCUGCAGAACCCUGGGCAGUGCCCAGCGCACAGAGGUGGAAGGGACAGGGGACGUCUGUCUGUUGAUCUCUGUAUUGCAGUGCUUAGUUGCAGUGUUAGGAAACCUCAGGCUUGCAGCACAAUCUGAGUGUUAAAGAACUGAUUUCGUUCCUCUAAGGCAACACUAGGGAAAUGGGUACAAUACAAACUGCUCAGUUCUGGAGGCAGCGGGAACCAAAAGAGAAAUAAUUGAGGACAAAAUAUUGUGGCACGAGCAAAGCCAAACAUGACAAACCUUUCCUGUUCCAGGGUUGCAAAGAUAAGCUGUAUAAAGGAAUCCUUUUGCCUAUUAAAAUAUUUUGUAAUAAAACGAAUUUUAUAGAUGUAUGCUAGGCAUUCAAAAAUAGAACAUUUAAGUCUGGACACUGACCGCUUACAGUGAUUUUAGGGUACUUGGGAUUUACACUAGCAGAGGGUUGAUUCAGGUUAACUACAUCUGGUAAAACACAGCAGUGACUUCAUUAGAGGACAGUCACUGUGCUGAAAUACCCGAUUCUAACUGCAAACUGACCAGGCUGCCUUCGGUGCUGCUGGCUUGUACCUUACAAAUGGUGCAGGACACGGGCAGGCUCCACAGACUGGAGCUUUGCUCUGCGGUACGUUCACCCUUUCAGCCGCAGUCAGACAGGUUGUUACUGCUUUUAACGUCUUGCUCAAGAUGAGUGUCACAAAUGCAGCUUUUGUGUUGAAAAUCCUGUCCUUGCAGAGGGUGGCCCUGCUCUGGCAGCUGCAGCUUCCACAUCAGGAGUUGUCUUGGCCUCAUCCAGCACAGCGGGCAGUGUCGUGAGUUCUGUCAGUCCUUUGCCUCUUGGGAGCAUUGCUGGAGACCUUUUGCUUUCAGGGAAGCCUGAGUCCUGAAGUACAACCUGCUGCUCACUGGGGAGCUGUGAGAGUGCAAGGGGAGCAGGCUGGGCACAGAUCUCUGCCUGGUGGGGUCUGCAAAUCUGUGGGGUGCCGGUGGGCUCGUGGAUCCUGUGGAGUCAGGUCCAGACCGUGUGGGCUUCUCCUCUGGUUGAGGACAGCGUGGGAGCCCUGCCUGAGGGCACUGCCCAGGCGCUGGGUACGGCAGGGAGGGAGGGAAGAGACUUAAGUUACCAAAUCCUCCCAAAUGUUUGAAAAUAGGCCAGGGCUUAGUAGUGCAGAAAGGAGAGCCCCGCUCCUGCGGAGUGGGUGUGCGAGCAGGCACACGCCGUGCUCUUCAGCCCUGCCACGUCACGGCCACUGUGCUUUUCAAAGGGCUUAUUUAUGUAUUUAUUUACUAUAAGGGACAUGUUUUUGCUGUAGGGGGGAGGACAUUGACAGGGCUGGCUAGGAGUAAACAGCAGGCUGCAGUCUCGCUCCCAGCAUCUCUUGCCCUUCUGAUAUUACAAUGCUCAGCUGCCAGGAGCCCAAAUCACCCGCACUGGCUCAGGGAAAGGCUUCCCUCCCCUCCCUUUGCCAGUCCCCUGCCUCUGCGUGUUUGUGUUAACUGGUAUGAUGAAUCCAUUUCCCAAGGAGAUGAGUUUAUGAGCAUGUUCAUUCCUCUGGCAGGGGGGAGGACGUCCUGCCUUCCACGUUCCCUUCUCUGCUCUCUGUCAGCGAAUACAAAGUGCCACCCCUUCAAAAGCAGCAGGGAGGCAAAGGUUUCCUCAGCAGCCUGGCUGUGUCCCAGGACAGAGAGGGUGGGAAGGGGAAGCAGGGGGGCUGCCCCUUCCCCAGCCAUUUGUAGGAGCAUCCAGCCCUGGGGAAGCACUUUGUACUUCAUCUGACCCACUGUCUGUUGCGAACUUGUCCGAGCUGUGUGCCUGCGCUUGGUGUUUGCAGUGUGCAUAGUAUCCAAGGGCGGUGCUUCAGGUUUAGAUCAGCAAGGGCUGUUUUGAAAAACCGCCCUGGCCUUGGAUGUUGUGCUCGGCAGAGAGGUGGUGUGACCCCUGGCUCUCCCAAGACCAGUGUUUUGCAAGGAUUAAGGUUCCUUUCAUCACUGUUUUUGCACUUGUGCUUGGCUUCCCAGGACCAGGAAUAGGACUGCAGCCACUGUUGGGCAUCUCCCUGUCAACAAAGUCUUUUUCAGUGUGAGAGCUUGGCUCUUUCUGAGAGCUGAGCACAUCUUCCCCCGGUUAGCCUUUUAUUGGAGCUGCUUGAAAGUGAGCAUUAGCCCUAACCUUUCUUUUUUGGAGGCAAAGAGAACAUUUUGCAGUGAACACACAUCCCCGUUUGGCAGCUGGGGUAGCUGCACCCUCCUAUCACUGACAUUCCUCCCCUGUCACCAGCUGCAGGGGCACCCAAGCUAACCUGUAGGUACUUUUCAUGAUAUUACAGAGCAGGGCAGUGAAUGUUUUGCCCAUUCCUGCCUCUUGAGAGAUGCUCUACAGCUGUUCCUUGGGGUCUGAGCUGCAGCUGGUGGUUCAGGCAGACCCUGGGGCACACAACUGCUGCCCCGUGCACCCUCAGCUGCAGUGCUGAGGCUGUUUGCCUGCCACAGAACAAAGUACAGCCAGCUCGGCUGGGGUCAUGGUAACACAGCCCAGGUCUAGACAGAGCUGUGCACGCUGGAAACAAGUUUACACAGAGCUUGGGAGGCGGUUAUCUCUCCUGAGAUCCCUGGGUGUCCAGGAAUGGUUGAGAGCUGAAUGGGCUGACCUCUUUUCCUCACCACCCUGAGCUCCUGAGGGCUCUGAAGGGAUCGAGUGGGAGCACAGCCUUGCUUCUCUGAGCCUGGGGAUGCUGCGGGAAGUGAUCGCCUUGGCAAAUGUCUUCAUCUCAACCCCUAGCCCAUCACGCAUUGCCUGAAGGAGAAGCUGAUGAAGGAUGUUACCAGAGGACCAGGAAAGGCUCUACCAGCAGCACUUCAAGCAUCAGAGGACGCAGAUGGGGAACCAGCACUAAGAGAGGCACUUUGCAGGAGUCACUGCAGAGAAACCAGCUCUGGAAAGAAGCUACAAGAGCCCUGUGAACUGAUGGAGGUGAAGGUCCGAGUCAGCACAAAAGGUGCUUCGGGGUUUUCCUGGCACAGCAUCCUUGGAAAGCACUUUCGAAAGGGCAGGGGGGAGCAGGACCACGUGGCUGUCUCCAGUGGCUGGUUCAGAAGAGCCACAGCAAGGUCCCUGCCUUACGGCCAGGUCAGAAGAGUGGCAGGAUGUGCCCAGAGCCCCCGUCCACAUGUUGACUGGGGCUCCAGACAAACAGGAAUCUGACCAAGACUGAGAGAGAAGGAGCAUGGAAGAUUGCUUUGGUUUAUUCUGUGCUUGUUUCUCCUUCUGGUAUCUUCUCUGUCUACCUCUUUUUCUCUUUAGCCCUAAAUGUACUGCAUAUGGGGCACAGACCCACGCAAACAAGCAGGGGGAUUAGCACAGGGCAAAUCCUGCCCAGUGCAGUUUGCUGUUGCCAGAUGGGGCUGACGUUGCACAGUGCAAACACAGCCUGGCCUUCAUUUGCUCCAUAUGCCGACAGAUCUGCAGCUGCAAUGCCUGGACUUCAGCUGGGAGAAAGGCUCAAGCCUGGCAAUCCUACUCGCAAGCAGUCAUAUGCUAGCACAACGAGCCACUCUUGGGAGCCAAGUUUAAUACCAGAGCCCCAAAACCACACAGAGGAUCCACCUCUCUGCUGUAGCUGUUGAAACAAGCAUGCUGGCAGGCUGCACACUCAGCUCCUGCAUCGCGGAUUUUUAAAAAUUCAUUCAGCAGAGAAAGAGACAGAGACAUAGGGAGUGACAAAGGCUCAGGCAGGAAUUUUUAGGAAAAAAAAAUGGUUCAAAACCACAGGGAAUCUUGCACUUCUUAAUUGUAGAUGGCGUCCCAGCAGCAGACUGACACAUCCAGCUGGGAGGCUGCAGGUCUCUGCUCAGCGCGCCUCUCCCGGAUGCCUGGGCAAAACGAGCUGGUACUGACCUGUGUUGGGACCUUCUCUGUUGGGCUUCCAGCUGCAAAACCCUUCCCUUGUGUGCAAUCGUAUUUAUUUAUUUAUUACCUUGCUGCUUGAUGCAACGCUGCUAACAGGGCACCCUCCCCAAGCACCUCCCAUGCUGGGCGAGGACGCAGAGAGGAAGCGUGUGCUGUACAUCUGUCUGUGAGAUGAGAGUGGACAGAUGGACAGACAGAUGCCUGCCCUACCCUCGGUGCUGUCUGCAUGAAGCACAGAGUUACCAGGCCGGUGACAAGGGCACACAGUGGGUCAUGCACAUGCAGGGACAAGCAGGCUUCUGGGGGCGACGUGCAGCAGGUGUAAACGCCUCCAUCACGCCGGAUCCGGGCACGCACACGGAGUGUGGGAGUACCUGAGUGUGAGGCAGGAGGAAAAGGCUGCCAGUAAAACAGGAAUGUGUUGCCUGGGCAUGCACAAAUUUUGGUCUUUGGAGAAUUAAGAACAGGUUGGACAAACCCUUGUUGGGAAGGACAGAGGGACGGGAAGGACAGUGGGACAGAUGUGUGCUGCAUAAGCUCUGCAGAGCCCUUCCAGCCUCAUGCUCUGUGUGCAGCUGAGUUUGUGCAGUGCUUAUGCACGAAUCACUUUUUCCUGCUUCAUGCCCAGAUCCUGCCCUCCCAGCUGCAACGAAGCAGACGUCCCCUGCCUUGGAGGAGCCGAGUCUCUGGGCGAGGGGCUUUGUCCAAACCUGUGUCGCUGCUAAAUGGAAAUAUUUCCCAACCAAAAACCUGUUUCCUCAGAAGAUUCCUGGCUGGCUCCAGUCACGUAUUAUGUACUGGAAACACUGCCCUUGGGAUUAGCGUUCAGGUUAGAGACACGCAUGGGAUCUUUGUAGGUCUUUUUCUCACAAAGCCUCUCAUGCUCGAGGGCAGUUUGCAAUACAUGAGAUGGACGCACUUUCUCCAAUAAUUCACCAGAGCGGCCCCAAAGCAGUGACCUGCUUAUUGCUGAUUGCUUCCUUGCAGAGUCGUAAGAGUUGGAUAUGGAAGAGAUGUAUUACAAAUCCAUCUGCCUAUGAACCUUCAGGCUUGUUCCAUGUAUUCCAUUUACUGGUGGUAUGCUCGGUCUAUUUUUAAAUGCACUGACACCAGGGUUAAUGUGCUGUCCUUUGGGAGGCUGCUCCGUAGUCCAAGUCAUGAGCUGCUAUUAGCCUUGCACCUGCAUUUCCUCCUGAAAAUUUCAUUCCAUUAUUCCUAGUGAUGGGAAUAAUCUAAUUCCCAGUUAUUCCUUCAAAUACCCGCUGCUCGUUAUGCCCUGGGCAAGCUCUGCCACUUGAACUGCACUCCUCCUGCCUCCCCCACGAACCUCUCUGGCUCCCUGGUUUCUGCUGCUCUGUCCUUCCCAUAGUUUGGCACAGAAUGAGCCUGUUUGCUGUUAAAUCAGAGGUUGGGGGUUUUUGUCAGGGAUCUGCACCCAGGAGCAGAGCAGCCAGGACCCAUAGCAGAGCCCGGUCUCCCCAGCUGCUUGGAGCUGCUCUCCACCUCCUUGCACAGCAUGCAUGGUACAGAAGCAGGGCAGAUGCAGAGAUGUGUCCGAGUCAGCAGUGAGCAGCUCACGUCCUACAGAGAGCAAAUGCCUGCUAGGGAGAGCGCACAACCACCUCUCCAUCUCUGCAAAACGCAGGCAGAGCGAUGGAGAAGGGAGCACCUGGGCACCAUAACCACUGUCUGUGCUGUGCUGCCUGGAAAUCAGGUCCAUGAGCUCAGCACCGAGGGCACCCCACAUCCUGCUCAGCAGAGGGGUGCUGAGCACCAAGGCACGUGGAGCACGUGCUGGGGCAGCCUCGCGUGCUGUGCUCAGCUGGAGCACUAUUGUGAUCGUAAGAGCUCUGUUCUCUCCUCACUGAACAAAUUGUUCCUACAAAUAAAGAAUGAAAAGCC